rnacentral:rRNA from 1 species
UGUGAGCUCUGCAUCCAUGAUUCCACGGCGGACGGGUGAGUAAUGCCUAGGAAUCUGCCUGGUAGUGGGGGACAACGUUUCGAAAGGAACGCUAAUACCGCAUACGUCCUACGGGAGAAAGUGGGGGAUCUUCGGACCUCACGCUAUCAGAUGAGCCUAGGUCGGAUUAGCUAGUUGGUGAGGUAAAGGCUCACCAAGGCGACGAUCCGUAACUGGUCUGAGAGGAUGAUCAGUCACACUGGAACUGAGACACGGUCCAGACUCCUACGGGAGGCAGCAGUGGGGAAUAUUGGACAAUGGGCGAAAGCCUGAUCCAGCCAUGCCGCGUGUGUGAAGAAGGUCUUCGGAUUGUAAAGCACUUUAAGUUGGGAGGAAGGGCAGUAAGUUAAUACCUUGCUGUUUUGACGUUACCAACAGAAUAAGCACCGGCUAACUUCGUGCCAGCAGCCGCGGUAAUACGAAGGGUGCAAGCGUUAAUCGGAAUUACUGGGCGUAAAGCGCGCGUAGGUGGUUCGUUAAGUUGGAUGUGAAAGCCCCGGGCUCAACCUGGGAACUGCAUCCAAAACUGGCGAGCUAGAGUAUGGCAGAGGGUGGUGGAAUUUCCUGUGUAGCGGUGAAAUGCGUAGAUAUAGGAAGGAACACCAGUGGCGAAGGCGACCACCUGGGCUAAUACUGACACUGAGGUGCGAAAGCGUGGGGAGCAAACAGGAUUAGAUACCCUGGUAGUCCACGCCGUAAACGAUGUCGACUAGCCGUUGGGAUCCUUGAGAUCUUAGUGGCGCAGCUAACGCAUUAAGUCGACCGCCUGGGGAGUACGGCCGCAAGGUUAAAACUCAGAUGAUUUGACGGGGGCCCGCACAAGCGGUGGAGCAUGUGUUUUACUUCGAAACAACGCGAAAAGCUUUACCACGCCUUUGACAUGCAGAGAACUUUUCCAGAGAUGGAUUUGGUGCCUUUCAGGAACUUCUGACACAAGGUGCUGCAUGGGCUGUCAUCAAGCUGCGUGUCGUGCAGCAUGAUGAGGUUAAGGUUCCUCAUAACCGAGACGACAACCUUUUGUCCUUAACGUACCGAGCACGGUUAAAGGUUCGGUCACCUCUACGGAUAACUUGACGUCACUAUCGGAGCCGUACGAAGCUGAUAG